GAUGAACGCUAGCGGCAGGCCUAACACAUGCAAGUCGAGGGAGAGGUUACCUUCGUGUAACCAAUACCGGCGCACGGGUGCGUAACGCGUAUACGAUCUGCCUUUCACAUAGGGAUAGCCCGAAGAAAUUUGGAUUAAUACCUAAUGGUAUAUAAAAUCUGCAUCGUUUUUAUAUUAAAGCUACGGUAGUGAAAGUUGAGUAUGCGUUCUAUUAGCUAGUUGGAGAGGUAACGGCUCCCCAAGGCGACGAUAGAGAGGGGUGCUGAGAGGGAUGUCCCCCACACUGGUACUGAGAUACGGACCAGACUGCUACGGGAGGGAGCAGUGAGGAAUAUUGGACAAUGGUCGGAAGACUGAUCCAGCCAUGCCGCGUGCAGGAGGAAGGUCCUAGGGAUUGUAAACUGCUUUUGUAAGGGAAGAAUAAGAGUUACGUGUAGUUUUAUGACGGUACCUUACGAAUAAGCAGCGGCUAACUCCGUG
rnacentral:rRNA from 1 species